AGGACGAACGCUGGCGGCGUGCUUAACACAUGCAAGUCGAACGAUGAACCUCCUCCGGGAGGGGAUUAGUGGCGAACGGGUGAGUAACACGUGGGCAAUCUGCCCUUCACUCUGGGACAAGCCCUGGAAACGGGGUCUAAUACCGGAUAUGACACACGACCGCAUGGUCUGUGUGUGGAAAGCUCCGGCGGUGAAGGAUGAGCCCGCGGCCUAUCAGCUUGUUGGUGGGGUGAUGGCCUACCAAGGCGACGACGGGUA
rnacentral:rRNA from 1 species